UACGGGGGGAGCAAGCGUUGUUCGGAUUUACUGGGCGUAAAGGGCGCGUAGGCGGCCAGCACAAGUCAGUUGUGAAAUCUCCGAGCUUAACUCGGAAAGGUCAACUGAUACUGUGCGGCUAGAGUGCGGAAGGGGUAACUGGAAUUCUUGGUGUAGCGGUGAAAUGCGUAGAUAUCAAGAGGAACACCUGCGGCGAAGGCGGGUUGCUGGGCCGACACUGACGGCUGAGGCG
rnacentral:rRNA from 1 species